rnacentral:lncRNA from 1 species
ACAUGCAUGCUCUUCUCCUUGACUCAUGCACAUGUGAGGUUCUCUUUAGCCCAUAGCAUUUUCCUUUUUUCAGAAGACCUCAAAUUUACAAACUAACAGUUAUCUAGUUCUACCGAUUAUACUAGUUGAUUGAAAAGAGGUGGAAGCAAUUUCUUCAAUCUUUUGAACUCGUGCCUCUUAUAAAACUAAAAAGUAAAAUAUAGAAAAUUGAAAGUAGGUUUGCUUCUCUAUUUUGAAUUUUUUAAUUGAUAGAAAACUAAUAUACAAAGCAUCCUUUUGGAGUUAGAUCUUGAUUCCUAUAUCACUUAACUUCUCCCUAAUUAGAAGAUAUGCCAAGUCAAAAUCUUACUCGAAAAAUGAAAGUUUUACUUUCAUCAGUUUAUUUUGAAAACCAAAUAUCAUCAAAUUCCUAAAUAUAUUAAGUGUUGCUCCUAAACUUGUCCAAAUUGACUCGAAGUGGCCAAAAUGAUUCGCAACAAGUUUAGUGAUCCUUUUCAGUCAUGCACACCCUCCAAUAUCCUAACAACUUAGGACUCAUGGCACUGUCUCCUUCUAGAAUCUACACCACAUGCCUCGAUAACCAACUUAAUUCUCUCGUUUCCUUUUUCCAAGUAUCAUAGGUAUGUACUUCUAUCUAACAAACCUCACUUGUGUCAAAGAGAGAAGGGAUUUCUUCCAUCAAUCCUCCCAAUUUGAAUCCAUCACAUAACAAAACAAACAAUGAGGGUCAUCACUCUAACUCAUAAACUUACUUGACCUAAAUCCAUAACAAUCCAUGUUGGUCCUAAUCUCAACCCACCGAUGAAUGGAUAGGUUGUGGAUUCAAAGUCAGACCUAUUAAAAAUUCCAAGUCUAGUCUAGGUUUGACAAUUUUAGAGCCAACCGAACAUGGUCACAAAUACCUAUACCCAAUUUAUUUAUAUCUAUAAUAUUAAUUUUAUUCAUAUAUACUUCAAUUUCUAAAGUCUUGGCAUAUGAAAUUUUUUAUAUAACUUAGUUGAGUGGAAAGAAUAAAAAUAAUGACAUAUUAUAACAUGUUUUUAUAUUUGUCUAGACUUUAAAUUAGUUGCCUCUUUUCAAGUUUUAAGUCAAUCAAUAUAAAUGGUUAACUAUCAAGUGCUUACUCUUCAUAAUUCAAUUUUUAGAGUAUUUAGUUGCUUGUUUCAUUGUUAAACUUUAGAAAGCAUGGAUAGUAUUAGCUUAAUUAAUUGUCCAAGAUAUAUUUUUUGGUACCCAAUGGGAAACUUGGACCUGUUCCAAACCAAUUUGGACCUUAUGCACGCUUAGUAAGCUGUAGGUCUAAACAUAUGUAAAUCACCUCCAAGGAUUUGUUAUAUUUUAAUUACUGAAUGCAAACCCAACUUGACCCCCCAACAGAUUAUGAAUCAUUUAGACCAUAAGAUCAACAGGUCUAGGGCUGGAUUCACUAAACCUGGCCCUGCUCGACUCAAUAACACCCUUAUAAACAAUAAACAAGAUGAGUUUUGUAUGAACCUAAAAAUGGAGAGUUUUUACACUAUUUACUUCCGUCAAAUUAGUUUCCAAAACCAGGGAAUAAAGCUUCUAUGUAUAUCAUCGAGGUCUACCUGUUCAAAUCUAAAUGAAAGGUUCCAUUUUUCUUGGAAUAGAAAACUACAAAAUCACCAAGAAACUAGGUCUCAACUCCUAAUCAACUUUGUCUUUUGUUGCUCAAUCUAUUCUUCAUAGAUCAUGAGCUN